GUGCCAGCAGCCGCGGUAAUACGAAGGGUGCUAGCGUUGUUCGGAAUCACUGGGCGUAAAGCGCGCGCAUGCGGCUUUGCAAGUCAGGGGUGAAAUGCCAAGGCUUAACCUUGGAACUGCCUUUGAAACUGCAUAGCUAGAGUGUCGGAGGGGAUAGCGGAAUUCCUAAUGUAGUGGUGAAAUACGUAGAUAUUAGGAGGAACACCGGUGGCGAAGGCGGCUAUCUGGACGACAACUGACGCUGAGGCGCGAAAGCGUGGGGAGCAAACAGGAUUAGAUACCCUGGUAGUCC
rnacentral:rRNA from 1 species